AUUAAGAAAUACCUGACACUGAAUUUCAUUAGAGCAGAGAACCACCAUAGCCUCGGGUGGAUGUCUUUCAUUUCCUCACUAAGAAAGUGUCCUAGAGAAACCAAUACAUGGGAAGAGCACACGUGUG